CACGUAGGGCGCAAGCGUUGUCCGGAAUUACUGGGCGUAAAGAGCUCGUAGGUGGUUUGUCGCGUUGUUCGUGAAAACUCACAGCUCAACUGUGGGCGUGCGGGCGAUACGGGCAGACUAGAGUACUGCAGGGGAGACUGGAAUUCCUGGUGUAGCGGUGGAAUGCGCAGAUAUCAGGAGGAACACCGGUGGCGAAGGCGGGUCUCUGGGCAGUAACUGACGCUGAGGAGCGAAAGCGUGGGGAGCGAACAGG
rnacentral:rRNA from 1 species